GGAGUUGUGGCUCAAAUGGUAGAGCGCUCAUCUGGCACGCGAGAGGCACUGGGUUCAAUCCUCAGUACCA
rnacentral:tRNA from 1 species